CCUACGGGCGGCAGCAGUGAGGAAUAUUUGUCAAUGGACGAGAGUCUGAACCAGCCAAGUAGCGUGAAGGAUGACUGCCCUAUGGGUUGUAAACUUCUUUUAUAUGGGAAUAAAACAGGGUAUGCAUACCCUCUUGUAUGUACCAUAUGAAUAAGGAUCGGCUAACUCCGUGCCAGCAGCCGCGGUAAUACGGAGUAUCCGAGCGUUAUCCGGAUUUGUUGGGUUUAAAGGGAGCGUAGGUGGAUUGUUAAGUCAGUUGGGAAAGUUUGCGGCUCAACCGUAAAAUUGUAAGUGAAACUGGCAGGCUUGAGUACAGUAGAGGUAGGCGGAAUUCGUGGUGUAGCGGUGAAAUGCUUAGAUAUCACGAAGAACUCCGAUUGCGAAGGCAGCUCACUGGACUGCAACUGACACUGAUGCUCGAAAGUGUGGGUAUCAAACAGGAUUAGAUACCCCUGUAGUC
rnacentral:rRNA from 1 species